GAGGGUCUAACUCAAUGGUAGAGUUUGGGCUUAACAUGCACAAAGUCCUGGGUUCAAUCCCCAGUACCUCCA
rnacentral:tRNA from 1 species